UAUGAGGUAAUGUUCAGGGGCCCCAAGGAAAAGGGUCGUCCAUGAAACUACUGAUACAUUUUGAUGAAUGAAAGUAUUUCCAACAUGAAAUGUAUUGCUUCACACUUAUGCUGCAUGUGCAUGGCAAAUAACUCAGCCUUUUACGCGUGGCUGCACUUCAUGAGUUUGUAUCUGUAUGUAUGUGAGGCCGAGAGCACGUGUUGUGUUUGUAAACAAAUCCAUCUCAGUCUUGUACUAACUCCCUGAUGAAUUGCAGACUCGAGCCAACUUUAUUAUCAGUGCGGAUAGAGAUCUCUCCAACCUCCAACCCUUUGAAAAGCUCAUUUGAAAGUCAAGACUCAUUUAUCAGCUUUUGAUCUAAUUAAACAACCUUGAGCUUGGGAUGAAAGCAGGGACCAGCCAUUAUCUGACUCCAUUAGCCACAGGCGCGGCAUAAAAAAUCGCUCCCCAUCCUUCACAACUUUAAGCCAACUUUCUCACUUUUUCUGCUCCUGCAGCAGCUGUUAAGAUUGAUUUUUGAAAUUUGAUCUUGCUUUCAUGUCACCUUUUAUUGCUUUGCUUUGGCCCGCUUUCCCACUGUUUUCUUCUUCUAACUCUCGCUUCAUACCUCCUGAAACUUUUCACGCCAUCAUUGUUGACUUGUUUAGGCUUCUUAAUUCCUGCCUCCACAGGUCAACUUUAAGAUUAUAACAUGAUCUGCUUUCCUUACGUCAACCUUUGAUUCUGGCAAAGGGCUGUAAAUUCUCAGCUCUGAUUCGUUACUCCUUCUAACUUUUCCUAACCCCUGUGUGUGUUCACGUCAGGGAUUGGCUCUUCUCCUCAAGCAGAAUACUAGAUCUUCCCUCUUCCCACCCUCAAGGGACUUCAGUGACAGACAUGGAGACGUAUGACCAGCCUGAUGGAAGAAGAUCAAGUUAAGCUCCUUCGUCUUCAUUGACCUACAGAGGAGGUGAUAGAGAUGCCCGCAUGGAGUUCACACAUAUACGGACAGGGGACUGGUAUUAUUGAUCUGCAGCUGCCUGAAGGGAAUGACUGCCAGUGAAGAUGAAAUCUACUUGUUCGCAUCUGGUCCCUGUGCUGAGAGAGGCCUUUGGCAGAGUGAGAGCUCAGUCAACUGUGAGCUCUCAGACCCAUGUGACACUGGUGGAUAUUGACUGAGCUGUGCACUCUGAGGUGUAGUAGUAGAAUAGUAGUAGAAUUAUACUUGGUGUACCCCGGGUGAGGUUUAAGCCCAGUGUGGUCAAAAGAAAAAUUAUAUGAGGAUCAUCAAGACUGUAGAGUUUUCAUUUAAGGUGUACUAGUUGAAGUGUAAGCAGGGAGACUCUUACCAAACAUGCCUUUUUCCAUUUUAGUGUCCUUUUUAGUUUUUUAUUCCUGUUUUACAAAAUAAAAAUCCUCAAGGAUGAUGAGUCACUGGGUUGUUUGGCAAAUGUACAUCUGGUUCACUUCCCCACUUCCGGUAAAGAUCAGCCGCUUCCCUAAAUUUUUCAGUAGGAAGUAUUAGGGACAGUCCCAAACGGGGCUAGUGAAUGGUGGUGAAGUGAUCCAAACUGACCUUAUUGUCCCCAAUGACUCCAAGGUAUUUAAAACGUUUCUCAACUACAACAGGUCUUUAGUGCCAAUUAUCAGCAAUCAUCAUGAGUUGUUUUAAUUCCCAGAACAAGACAUACACCAUACAGUCACACUAGGCAAAAGCAGGAAAGACAGUGUGUGUGUCAAUGUCGCUUUCAAGUGUAUAUGUAUGACAGAGAAAUGAGAGAGAGUCUUAAAAGAGACAAUGUCAUGCAUGAGAAAGCUGUACAGUGUUGCACGAGGCUUUGUGGAGCGUUAAAGCAGCACUGAGGCAUCAACCACUAGACGGCAAUAAGGCUUGGCAGGGAUAUCUGUCACUGCAGAUACAAAGACAGAGUGGCAUUAGUGGAGUCAACGAGGUGUGUGUGUGACUCACAUCACACAAAAAAUGUUCUCUAAUGGGAAAAGAGCAUAUUAUGCUAUGCAAAAAAAAGGAAAAAGUCAAAGGAAAUUCAGAUUUUAGU